rnacentral:lncRNA from 1 species
GUCUCACAGCUGCGCGGUGGCAGACAGGACUUGUUCCACAGUGGUAACUGGGAUAGAGCUGAUGUGGCCCCAACCCCACCUCCCUUCCCGCCCUGCCAUGUCGGAAGAAACCCGACGAGCAAAUUGGCAGCAGCAAAGAAAAAGUUGAGAGACUAUCAGUGGAGGAACAGCCCUGGUGUUCCUACAGGAGUGAAAAAGAAAAUUAAAAAUUGCAGUAACCCCGAGACAACCACUUCUGGUGGUUGCCACUCACCUGGAGAUGUAAUGGAGGCAUGUAGACAAAUACAACUGGAGAGAGAUACAUUUGCUGAGAUUCUUAAAGGAGAGAGAGCCACAUGGCAGCAGAGGAUGAAUCAGAUGUCGGAGCAGCUGAACUCCCAGCCCUGGCACCCCCAGCAAGGCCCUCCGAGGUGGAGCAGCAGCUACAAGAGGAGGCUGAGCACCUGAGGGAGGAGCUGGAGAGUCUGGCAGGACAGCUCCAAGCCCAGGAGCACCUGGAAGCUGCCAGCCAGAGAACCAGCAGCUACAGGCCCAGCUGAGCCUCAUGGCUCUCCCUGAGGAAGGUACGGGAGAUCACUCA